rnacentral:rRNA from 1 species
GACGAACGCUGGCGGCGUGCUUAACACAUGCAAGUCGAACGGAAAGGCCCUGCUUUUGUGGUGUGCUCGAGUGGCGAACGGGUGAGUAACACGUGAGUAACCUGACCUUGACUUUGGGAUAACUUCAGGAAACUGGGGCUAAUACCGGAUAGGAGCUCCUGCUGCAUGGUGGGGGUUGGAAAGUUUCGGCGGUUGGGGAUGGACUCGCGGCUUAUCAGCUUGUUGGUGGGGUAGUGGCUUACCAAGGCUUUGACGGGUAGCCGGCCUGAGAGGGUGACCGGCCACAUUGGGACUGAGAUACGGCCCAGACUCCUACGGGAGGCAGCAGUGGGGAAUAUUGCACAAUGGGCGGAAGCCUGAUGCAGCAGCGCCGCGUGCGGGAUGACGGCCUUCGGGUUGUAAACCGCUUUCGCCUGUGACGAAGCGUGAGUGACGGUAAUGGGUAAAGAAGCACCGGCUAACUACGUG